AGCGUAGGCGGGAGAGCAAGUUGAAUGUGAAAUCUAUAGGCUUAACUUAUAGACUGCGUUCAAAACUGCUUUUCUUGAGUGAAGUAGAGGUAAGCGGAAUUCCUAGUGUAGCGGUGAAAUGCGUAGAUAUUAGGAGGAACACCAGUGGCGAAGGCGGCUUACUGGGCUUUAACUGACGCUGAGGCUCGAAAGCGUGGGUAGCAAACAGGAUUAGAUACCCUGGUAGUCCACGCUGUAAACGAUGAUUACUAGGUGUGGGGGGUUUAAAGCCUUCCGUGCCGGAGUUAACACAAUAAGUAAUCCACCUGGGGAGUACGAUCGCAAGAUUGAA
rnacentral:rRNA from 1 species